rnacentral:rRNA from 1 species
CCUCUGAGAUGGGAAUAACACUCCUAACGGAGUGCUAAUACCGAAUGACAUCGUUGAUUCGCAUGUGUCGACGAUCAAAGGUGGCCUCUGUUUACAAGCUACUGCUCAGAGAUGGUCCCGCGUCCCAUUAGCUUGUUGGUAGGGUAACGGCCUACCAAGGCGACGAUGGGUAGCUGGUCUGAGAGGACGGCCAGCCACACUGGGACUGAGAUACGGCCCAG